rnacentral:rRNA from 1 species
UACGGAGGGUGCAAGCGUUAUCCGGAUUCACUGGGUUUAAAGGGUGCGUCGGUGGGCAGGUAAGUCAGUGGUGAAAUCUCCGGGCUUAACCCGGAAACUGCCAUUGAUACUAUCAGUCUUGAAUACCGUGGAGGUAAGCGGAAUAUGUCAUGUAGCGGUGAAAUGCUUAGAUAUGACAUAGAACACCAAUUGCGAAGGCAGCUUACUACCCGAAUAUUGACACUGAGGCACGAAAGCGUGGGGAUCAAACAGG